rnacentral:rRNA from 1 species
UACGAGGGGGGCAAGCGUUAUUCGGAAUUACUGGGCGUAAAGGGUGCGCAGGCGGUUUGAUCAGUGAGAAGUGAAAGCCCUCGGCUCAACCGAGGAAUUGCUUCUCAUACUGUCAGACUAGAGUAUUGGAGAGGAAAGUGGAAUACCCGGUGUAGCGGUGAAAUGCGUAGAGAUCGGGUGGAACACCAGUGGCGAAGGCGACUUUCUGGACAAUUACUGACGCUGAGGCACGAAAGUGUGGGGAGCAAACAGG